GCCAGGCAUGGUAGUGCAUGCCUGUAAUCCCAGCUACUUGGGAGGCUGAGGCAGGAGAAUCGCUCGAACCCGGGAGGCGGAAGCGGCAGUGAGCUGAGAUUACGCCACUGCACUCCAGCCUUGGUGACAGAGUGAGACCCUGUCUCAG
ensembl:misc_RNA Metazoa_SRP Metazoan signal recognition particle RNA